GAAAAAAAAAACAAAAAAAACAGAAAAAACAACAAUAAAACUAACACAGACAAGCGUAUAAUCAACCAGUGCACCUCAUCGCAUCCGCUGCCGAAUCCCCACACCCAGCCCAACCCAGAGCCUUCAAAACAGAUAUAUAGUCAAACGAUCAGGAGGCAGUGCUAGAGAAACGAUGUGUGUUUUUAUAUAAGUUUGUACUUCUAAAAACAAAGAUUUGUUCUCCUCAAUAGUAAGUGAAUCAAUUCCGUGAAGUAAUUUGUGAGUACUAAGAGGAUGAAAUCUUCGAGUAUUAAUAAAUACCAAUCGACGAGCAUUGGCAUAAUGGCUACAUUUAAAAAAGAAAUGUUCCGCAUCUUCAAUACCAUGUCCACAAGAGCAGUCGGGAUAGUCUCGUAAAUGGUUAUAAAAUAAAUCAUUGUUUAGGUUACUGCAUCGGUUUCUAAUACGAGUUUGAACUACAUUAUAGAAUCGUUCUCCUAUUAGAUAAAAAGACGGAACAAUUGGAGAUUUAAACGUACUCUUCGAUUUGCUCUUAAAAGAUGUAAGUGUGUUAACAUUGCGUGUCGGAAGGUCAAGGUUAUUCCAUAGUUUUACUGAAUCGGGUAUAACUGAUUUUGAGUAAAUUUCGAGACGUCUAGGCAAUGUUACAAAAUUAGUGUUGUUUCUAAGUUCAUGGUUGUUAGAAUUGUGAACUGUUGGUGGAAAAAGUUCUAUAAGAUAAUCCGGAAGUAGUCCGUUAUUUCCUUUAUACGCUAAUAUUAAUUUCUGCAUAAUUCUACGGUCUGCAAGAAAAACCCAGCCAAUUUCAGUUAAUAAAUUUUGAAUGGAAACGGAACGAGUCAAACCAGUAACAAUGCGAGCUGCUUCAUAUUGAAGUUUUUCUAUAAUGUCCUUUUCAUAUUGUGUACAGCUAUCCCAUACAACUGAAGCAUACUCGAGUAGAAGUCUUAGAUACGAUAAAUAAAUGUUGUUAAGAGUAGACCUUUUAACUUAAAUUUUAACAUUCUCAUCGAGACGAGUACUUUUGAAGCUGAGGAAGUGAUAUUGUUUAUAUGGGUGUGCCAAGAGCCAUCAUGACUUAUUGUAAGACCUAGAUGUUUGUGAUCGUCAACGAAGUUUAGAGGGGUAUUAUCAAAGGUCAACGAAGGUUGAGCUAUAUCUCUAAAGGAGAAAAACAUGACUUCAGUUUUAGAAGGAUUGAAUUUUACUAGCCAUUGUCAACUGGAAAUUUUUUCUAGAUCUGAAUUUAAAACAGUUUCUAUAUAAACGGAGUCUGGUGAAGAUAUAGCAAGUGAGCUAUCGUCAGCGAAUAGUCUAGCGGUACAGAAUCAGCAAUAUCAUUUACGUAUACAAGAAAUAACAGAGGGCCUUGGAAGUGGACAUAUAUGAUAAUUUCGGCCAGUUCAACAUAUAUGAGAAAAUUUAGAAAAGCUGUUUAAUUCUAUCAGAUAUUUCCAGAAUGUUUAGAACGAUAGCGGUUUAAACCAAAGAGGAAUAAUAGCAUUAUUUCUCUCGAUUUACCUUAAACAUUGAUCUCAGGUCUGAAGCCUUAGUUAAGUUCAUAAUUCAUUGUAAUCCGUAUUGUUGAAAACGUUUAUAGAUACCACUAUACAUAAUAUCAAAUAUAAAGAAAGAUUAACAAUUUCCAGUUAAUGUCUAAUUAAGUAGAUUAUUUCUUUUUCAAAAUAAUGAAGAAAAUAUGCCAUAUAAAUUUUAUAUUUUAAGAACAACCUAGUAAUAAAAUGCAUUGUUCUAUUUCAUUUUAUUUACAGCUAAAUGUGAUAGUAUUGUAAAAACCGUUAUAGAUAUGUUUGGUAGUUAUCAGCACAUACUCAAGCACGCACAAAAGCUCGGCCGCACGCACGCAAGCACAUACUACGUUCGUGAAAAUGGUACUAUAUAAAACUGGUAUAGUGUAUUCAUGUAUUUGCUUUGAUUUGUUUUGGAAUCAUGGCGGAAGUACAAUAGUAUUUUACACUGUAAGUUUUGUAUUCUCCAAUUGUCAUGAAUAAUGUAUCAUUUGCAAUAAAGAUAAGAUUUUCUGCAUAAACAUUUGAAAAAAUAUAUUUAGAGGAAAUAUAUAUAUUAUAUACUAGUAUCACAUACUUUCGAUAGCCGGCAUUCUCUUACUUUUCAAAGUUUUAAACUGCGUCUUAUUUUUCUAUAAUUAAAAUCUAUGUCAUUGACAGAACAAAACAGAAUUAGACCUACGAUUCUGUCAUUUUUGUAUGAAAUCAAAUAGAUGAAUCUUGUUCGAAUGUUUAUGUCUAUUGCAUUUUCUUGCAGAUGAAUAUAGAGGAUGUUAAACCAGGAAAAAUUGUUUACAUCAGCGGAAUAUCUUCCGAGAAUUCGAAUCAGUAAAAGCUAUGCUCAGUGAUGUUAUUCAAUUUACAUUAUAAAUUCUUAAUGCAAUAUCUCAGUUUGGGCUGAUUUCAUCAACGCUCGUGGACACAUACCUGUUCCAUAUUGUCAUAGAAACACUUCAGUAAAAAUAAUUUUGAGAGUGGACAAGACGUGGCUUUGUAUUUGACAUUAGAUUCUGUUUUGGUAAUGAUCGCAAUGUAAUAGUUAGGAACAUCAGACAAAACAAUAGUUGGGGCCAAGAGGAAAGGGAAAUGAAUGGAACUUUUCAUUUUCGAGCAGACAAAUUCUUCGACAUGACGUUUCUUAUAGAAACAUCCUGCUUUAAGGUAGCAGUAAACAAUCAACAUGUAAUCGAAUUCAUGCAUAGACUUGCCUCCCAUCGUAUCGACACACUACGUGUAACCGGUGAUAUUCGGCUUUGUUACGCCAUAUUCUAAAUACAGAGAGACAACUGAUAGGGAUGUUUGAAAGGAGCAAAGGACGCAUGUGAUAAAUAUUUUGAAAUGUUUCAUAUAUACGCAUAUAUAACAUAAGGUGGUUUAUUUAGGACAUUUCGUUUUGUCGCAUUGUUGUAUUGUUCAUUGUGCAACACUGGCGUGAACGCCAUCUCACCAUUACGAAGUGUUGGAAGUUUCGUUACGUCGUAAUUGCGUACAAAGAAAUGAACCUAUCAGUGCACUACAACGAAACAUCUCAAGUAACAGAACUAAGUAUUUUGCUUCGUUUUGGUGUGCAGCCAUCUACAACAUCUCCGCAUUGGCGCGUAAGCGCGCACUAAAUAGUCAUAAAAUGCAUUACAACAUUACAGUAAAUUUCGUUCUAUGUCGUUGUGACACGCGCAAAACUCAACACAACAAAGCAUUUCAGAUAGUUUUAGCGCGUACACAAACACGCCAUUACGAAAUGUAAUAUUCUAUUGCUCAAUGUGUUGUUAUGGUGCAUUGUCAGCUUCGUCUUUUUUCCUCAUGCGCGCGACAAAACAACAUAAAAAAUAUACUAUAUAAGCCUCGCGUGCCAAAACCAUACAUGACUGUGCUACAUAUGCCCCGGACGCCAACACGAUUUAACUAACAGUCUUCUUUUAGCCACCUUCAAUGUUUUGGUAUAAAUACAUCAAUCCCCAAAAGAACUUUUAAUUGUUAUUGGUAAACAAAGGUUAAAGGCUCAUAAUGCCUUUCUUUAUAGGACGAGUGUCAUAUUUUUGUGAAGAACAUGUCUUUUUCUUGUAAAAUCCUAUUGAUUGUUGUUUUCUUAUAUAUUUGCCAAAACUUUGAAUAUUGAUUAACGUUGUAGAAUAUAUUACUGAACCCUUUGUUUAUGAUUAUCCCCUUUAUGACCCUAACUUUAUAAGUUCCUGAGUGAUGUUGAAAGUACUGAUUUUUCAAACCAUUUUAUUAUGCAUAUCAUAAUGUUUGUUUG
rnacentral:lncRNA from 1 species